rnacentral:rRNA from 1 species
GACGAACUGCCCAAACGUUGUUCGGAAUCACUGGGCUUAAAGGGCGCGUAGGCGGCAGAUCAAGUCAGGGGUGAAAUCCGGCAGCUCAACUGUCGAAGUGCCUUUGAUACUGAUUUGCUCGAGGGAGAUAGGGGUCUGUGGAACUUCUGGUGGAGCGGUGAAAUGCGUUGAUAUCAGAAGGAACGCCGGUGGCGAAAGCGACGGACUGGAUCUCUUCUGACGCUGAGGCGCGAAAGCUAGGGGAGCAAACGGGAUUAGAUACCCCGGUAGUCCUAGCCCUAAACGAUGGGUACUAGAUAGUAGACUAACAUGGGUUUACUGUCGAAGCAAAAGUUUUAAGUACCCCGCCUGGGGAGUAUGGUCGCAAGGCUGAA